CCUACGGGUGGCAGCAGUGGGGAAUAUUGGGCAAUGGGCGCAAGCCUGACCCAGCAACGCCGCGUGAAGGAAGAAGGCUUUCGGGUUGUAAACUUCUUUUGACAGGGAAGAGCAGAAGACGGUACCUGUCGAAUAUGCCACGGCUAACUACGUGCCAGCAGCCGAGGUAAUACGUAGGUGGCAAGCGUUGUCCGGAUUUACUGGGUGGAAAGGGCGUGUGGCCGGGCCGACAAGGCAGAUGUGCAAGUCGGGGGCUCAACCCCCGAACUGCAUUUGAAACUGUUGGUCUUGAGUAUCGGAGAGGCAGGCGGAAUUCCUAGUGUAGCGGUGAAAUGCGUAGAUAUUAGGAGGAACACCAGUGGCGAAGGCGGCCUGCUGGACGACAACUGACGGUGAGGCGCGAAAGCGUGGGGAGCAAACAGGAUUAGAUACCCCAGUAGUC
rnacentral:rRNA from 1 species